UACGUAGGGUGCGAGCGUUAAUCGGAAUUACUGGGCGUAAAGCGUGCGUAGGCGGUUCGUUAAGUCAGCUGUGAAAGCCCCGGGCUCAACCUGGGAACUGCGGUUGAAACUGGCGAACUAGAAUCUGGCAGAGGGGGGUGGAAUUCCACGUGUAGCAGUGAAAUGCGUAGAGAUCCGGAAGAACACCGGUGGCGAAGGCGGCCUGCUGGGCAGUAGCUGACACUGAGGCGCGACAGCGUGGGGAGCAAACAGG
rnacentral:rRNA from 1 species